CCCCCUGAAUUUAAGCAUAUUAAUGAGGGGAGGAAAAGAAACUAACAAGGAUUUUCUUAGUAGCGGCGAGCGAAAAGAAAAUAGUUCAGCACUAAGUCACUUUGUCUUUAUGGCAAAUGUGAGAUGCAGUGUAUGGAAUGUCAAAUUUCUAGUAUGAGAAAUUAACGAUUUAAGUCCUUCUUAAAUGAGGCCAUUUACCCAAAGAGGGUGCCAGGCCCGUAUAACGUUAAUGAUUACUAGAUGGCAUUUCCAAAGAGUCGUGUUGCUUGAUAGUGCAGCACUAAGUGGGUGGUAAACUCCAUCUAAAACUAAAUAUAACCAUGAGACCGAUAGUAAACAAGUACCGUGAGGGAAAGUUGAAAAGAACUCUGAAUAGAGAGUUAAAUAGUACGUGAAACUGCUUAGAGGUUAAGCCCGAUGAACCUGAAUAUCCAUUAUGGAAAAUUCAUCAUUAUGAUUUUAAUAUUUGUAAUAUUAUAAUAAUGGUGUGCAUUUUUUCUAUAAAGGACAUUGUAAUCUAUUAACUGUUUAUUCAAAUUAUUUUGCUUGCAAUUUAAUAUCGAAUAAAUUCUUUUGAUUUGAUAAAGUGUUGAUAGAUUUAUUAUAUACAGUGCUUAAAUAUUUAUAUUUUAUAAUAUCAUAUUAAUCAAUGAUUUUUAUGUUCAUUAUAUGCACUUGUAUGAUUAACAUGCGAAAGAUUCAGGAUACCUUCGGGACCCGUCUUGAAACACGGACCAAGGAGUCUAACAUAUUUGCAAGUUAUUGGGAAUAAAAACCUAAUAGCGAAAUUAACAUAACUUUAAUGGGAUUAGUUUUUAGCCUAUUUAGUCUAUUAAUUCAAUCCCGGGGCGUUCUAUACAGUUAUGUAUAAUAAUAUUUAUAUUAUUUAUACCUCUAACUAGAGCGUACCUUGAGCAUAUAUGCUGUGACCCGAAAGAUGGUGAACUAUACUUGAUCAGGUUGAAGUCAGGGGAAACCCUGAUGGAAGACCGAAACAGUUCUGACGUGCAAAUCGAUUGUCAGAAUUGAGUAUAGGGGCGAAAGACCAAUCGAACCAUCUAGUAGCUGGUUCCCUCCGAAGUUUCCCUCAGGAUAGCUGGUGCAUUUAAAAAUUAUGUAAAAUAAUCUUAUCUGGUAAAGCGAAUGAUUAGAGGCCUUAGGGUCGAAACGAUCUUAACCUAUUCUCAAACUUUAAAUGGGUAAGAACCUCACCUUUCUUGGUAUGAAGGUUGUGGUUGUGAUAUAAUGUGCCCAGUGGGCCACUUUUGGUAAGCAGAACUGGCGCUGUGGGAUGAACCAAACGUAAUGUUACGGUGCCCAAAUUAACAACUCAUGCAGAUACCAUGAAAGGCGUUGGUUGCUUAAAACAGCAGGACGGUGGACAUGGAAGUCGUAAUCCGCUAAGGAGUGUGUAAUGAAGUGGAGAAGGGUUUCGUGUGAACAGUGGUUGAUCACGAGUUAGUCGGUCCUAAGUUUAAGGCGAAAGCCGAAAAUUUUCAAGUUAUAAUGAAUAAUAAUAAAACACUUGAAUAAUUUUGAACGAAAGGGAAUACGGUUCCAAUUCCGUAACCUGUUGAGUAUCCGUUUGUUAUUAAAUAUGGGCCUUGUGCUCAUCCUGGCAACAGGAACGACCAUAAAGAAGCCGUCGAGAGAUAUCGGAAGAGUUUUCUUUUCUGUUUUAUAGUCGUACUACCAUGGAAGUCUUUCGAAGAGAGAUAUGGUAGAUGGACUAGAAGAGCAUGACAUUUACUGUUGUGUCGAUAUUUUCUCCUCGGACCUUGAAAAUUUAUGGUGGGGUCACGCAAACUUCUCAACAGGCCGUACCAAUAUCCGCAGCUGGUCUCCAAGGUGAAGAGUCUCUAGUCGAUAGAAUAAUGUAGGUAAGGGAAGUCGA
rnacentral:rRNA from 1 species